GAUGGGUAGUGCGGUUGAGGAGGAUGCGCCGAUACUCCUAUUGCCCUGAUUCUGGGAGUGGUGUUGGGGAUCACGGGAGGAAUAAUUAUCGGGGUCGUUAUUUUCCUGGUGAUACAGAGCAAUAAGAAUCACAAAAGUGCACCAAAGAAAGUGGAAGAAGUCAAGAUGGCGACAMCACUGCAACAGGAGCCAAUUGAGAUGGCGUAGAGAAGAGAACACAGGACUGGAAACACCAUAGAAAUGAGAUUGACUAGAACGCAUGAUCCCAUUCAAGUCCACUUUCCAUUUUAAGUGUAGCCAUGCCAGUCAUUGUAUUUCUAGGGGAAACACCAGGCAGGGCCCUCACCUGAAUGGCCCCUCUCAGGUUGAUUUAAUAGAGGAAUGUAGAUCUACAACUAACAACCCUACAAUGUAAUGUCAUGUUUCCAUCAUGUGUUGUUAUCCGAUUAUUCACAAAUCAUUGUUCGUGGGUUGGAGGAGUGGACAAUGAGAGAGUCAUACGGUAUCUGCCUUCUCCUUCACUAAUGCAGGCCAGGCUAUUUUCCUCAUGGUUGUUUAAAAUGACUCUCAAUUAUCUUACAACAUGUAUCAGGCUUUCUGCACUCUCGUCUUUUACAAUAUGACUUCUGUGUUUAUUUCAGGUAYAUUUGGUAACUACUCACAUCAUCUCCACGGGGCACUAUAGUUAAUUAAUUAGAUUACAGCAUCGUGUGCUUUUAUUGAACUCCUCAGUGGGCAACAGGGUUCUUCUGAUAUUCCGAUAGUUCUUCGUGUGGAAUGUGUGUUUUAUUUCACGUGCUACAUUCUGUUUGUGUUUUGGUCUGUAUAUCAACAUUCACAUUGGUUUUGUUCCAACUACUGUAUGUAACAUUAUUGUAAGACAUGAUGUGAGAAAGAACCAAAACACUGUUUAAAAAGAUAUAUAUUAUGGGACUGAGAUAUCAUCCUUCAACAGGUUUUACCCACAGAAAUAGAAUGAAUAGAACGGYSGKCCCCAUUCAAGUAAAUUGUGCCAUUAUGGGACUGAGAUGAUAUCAUCCUCCUGGACUGGCAGCCAUUUUGAGUGUACCGAUAGGAGCAAAGCAGAAAGUAAAAGCAGGAAGUAAAUAAAAGCAGGAAGUAAAUAAAAGCAGCGAGUCAAUCUGUGCUGUGAUGUUGUUGUGAAAUUCCAUAUACAUUUUGAAGGAUACAUAUUCAAAUGUGUUACAAAAAAAAAUAAACACAAAAACGAAA